rnacentral:misc_RNA from 1 species
AACACUGUUAACCUGCGGUACCUGCGGAAGGAUCAUUACACAAUACAAUAUGAAGGCUGUCCGCAGCUGGAGUAUUUUAUUACCCUUGUCUUUUGCGCACUUGUUGUUUCCUGGGCGGGUUCGCUCGCCACCAGGACCACCAAAUAAACCUUUUUUAUGCAGUUGCAAUCAGCGUCAGUACAAACAAUGUAAAUCAUUUACAACUUUUAGCAACGGAUCU